AUCCAGCUGACGAGUCCCAAAUAGGACGAGGAGGGGCGCGUCCUGGAU
rnacentral:hammerhead_ribozyme from 1 species